rnacentral:rRNA from 1 species
AUUGAACGCUGGCGGCAGGCCUAACACAUGCAAGUCGAGCGGAAGAAGCCAGCUUGCUCCUGGUUUCAGCGUCGGACGGGUGAGUAAUACCUAGGAAUCUGCCUGCCAGUGGUUGGUAACGUCCGCAAACGGGUGCUACUACCGCAUACGCCCUGAGGCAGCAAGAGGGGGAUCUUCGGACCUCUCGCUAUCUGAUGAGCCUAGGUCGGAUUGGCUAGUUGGUGGGGUAAAGGCCUACCAAGGCGACGAUCCGUAACUGGUCUGAGAGGGUGAUCGGUCACACUGGAACUGAGCCGCGGUCCAGACUACUACGAGAGGCAGCAGUCUGGAAUAUGCGACAACGGUCGAGAGCCUGAUCCAGCCGUGCCACGUGUGUAAAGGAAAAGUUGGGGUUGGAAAGAAGUUUAAGAUGGGAGGAAGGGCAGUAGGUUGAGACGUUGCUAGAGUGACGUUACCAAGAAAAUAAGCACCGGCUAACUUCGUG